rnacentral:lncRNA from 1 species
ACCAUCUAUGUGUAGGGGGUUAGAAAACUUCAGGUUUGGGUCAUGACUCAUUUAUACCUGACCACAGCAGUUAGAGGCUAUGAAUGCAGGAAGUGCAUGUGGGACUCAGUCGUGCUUUCAAUUAUCCACUGCAGAUGCCCUGAGACACAGGGCAGCUGAGAACCGAAGGCUCUAACCAUGUACAGAGCCCUUCUAUUCCAGAUCGUCCCCGGAGCUGAGAACUCAGCGUCCAGCUGGGCUGGAGCACCAGGCUUUCUUCAGGGUGACUUGGAAACAGAGGGGUAAAUUAGCUGGAAUGUAAGCUUUCACUUACCCUAGUAUACCUUCUUUAAAAAACAAAUAGUCUACAUGGUAUAAUCGAGAUGGAUAUCUGUAUCUUUAAAUUACGUAGGGAAUUUUGUAUGUUUAAAUAAUUGUACUGGGUUCCAUAAUGCUUACCUUAGAAACUGUUUAGUAAAAGAAAAAUAUAUAAACUGUGCAUUUGUGAAUGCCCCCGUUAGAGCAUUCAUGCAAGUUCAAUGUGUAGUGUGAUGGUUAUUAUAGAUAUUUAAAGUAUAGUAAGUGGCUGUGUAACAGGAAAGAUUAUUUUACCUGCGUACUUAAGGUAACUCCUGCCCAUGUAAUUAAAUCAGUAUUGUCCUUUCCUGUCAGUUUGACCAUUUGCAGUACUGGUAGCUUCCUGCUUGUGACUGUUACCUAAUUGUGUCAAUGUACAUCUGUAGUAUGUACAUGUGAAAGUGCCUUUCUAUUUAGAGGAGUCUAGCCUUGCUCUUGUACUGUUACCCCAUUCUAUGCCCACCCUCCUCUUCCUUGGUGCCCACCUGAGUGCUCCGAAAUUUUCUUCACUUUCUCUCUGCAUCUUUUCUAUCCCCACUUUCUGUGCCUCAGUGCUCCAUCCAGUCUGUCUUGCAUCCCUGUCGAUCAUCAGACUCUCGUUGUCCUCGUAGACGUGGUUGUGCCUUUCUCACCCAGCAGUGACUGAGUCCUCCCAUCCCCGCCCCGCUCACAUACUGCACCUGCCAUCAGUUUUACCCACGCUCUGCUCUGCCUCUUCCCAUUACAUCCCCUCCCUUCUGAGGUGAAAAUAACAGGGGCUGCUUUUCCAGUUCUGGAAAAAAAACCAUGUUUUGUUAUUCUGUUGUGACAAUGCACUUUUCUGUAUAGUACUGUACAUUUUGGCAUGUACCGUUACAGGCUUCCGUAUACAGUCGGGUUUGUUCUUCAUGGUGUAUCUUUGUAAUAAAUAAGAUAGUUCUGGCCACCUUUGUCUAC